CCUACGGGAGGCAGCAGUUAGGAAUAUUGGACAAUGGACGCAAGUCUGAUCCAGCCAUGCCGCGUGAGCGAUGAAGGCCUUCGGGUUGUAAAGCUCUUUAGCCGAUGAUUAUAAUGACUGUAGUCGGAAAAUAAGCCCCGGCUAACUUCGUGCCAGCAGCCGCGGUAAUACGAAGGGGGCGAGCGUUGUUCGGAAUCACUGGGCGUAAAGCGUGCGUAGGCUGUUUUGCAAGUUGGAAGUGAAAGCCCAAGGCUCAACCUUGGAAUUGCUUUCAAAACUGCAAGACUCGAAUUCGGGAGAGGAUAGCGGAAUUCUCAGUGUAGUAGUGAAAUACGUAGAUAUUGAGAGGAACACCGGUGGCGUAAGCGGCUAUCUGGACCGACAUUGACGCUGAGGCACGAAAGCGUGGGGAUCAAACAGGAUUAGAUACCCUGGUAGUCCACGCUGUAAACGAUGUGUGCUUGUCGCUGGGAGGUUUACCUUUCGGUGACGUAGCUAACGCGUUAAGCACACCGCCUGGGAAGUACGGCCGCAAGGUUAAAACUCAAAUGAAUUGACGGCUGAGACGNGCGAGCGACGACGAGGAGAG
rnacentral:rRNA from 1 species